GCGGGACUACCCGGUGAG
rnacentral:rRNA from 1 species